rnacentral:SRP_RNA from 1 species
GCUGGGUGUGGUGGUGCACACCUGUAGUCCCAGCUACUUGGGAGGCUGAGGCAGGAGAAUGGCUUGAACCCUGGAGGCGGAGGUUGCAGUGAGCCAAGAUUGCGUCACUGCACUCCAGCCUGGUGACAGAAACUCCGUCUCAAAAAAAAAAAAAAAGAAAGAUGCUCUUUCUUUGUUGGUUUUUUUUGGGUUUUUUUUUUUUUUUGAGACGGAGUUUCACCCUUGUUGCCCAGGCUGGAGUGCAAUGGUGUGAUCUCAGCUCACUGCCACCUCCGCCUCCCAGGUUCCAGCGACUCUCCUGCCUCAG